rnacentral:rRNA from 1 species
UACGGGGGGGGCAAGCGUUGUUCGGAAUUACUGGGCGUAAAGGGCGCGUAGGCGGCCAACUAAGUCCGACGUGAAAUCCCAAGGCUUAACCUUGGAACUGCGUCGGAUACUGGAUGGCUUGAAUUCGGGAGAGGGAUGCAGAAUUCCAGGUGUAGCGGUGAAAUGCGUAGAUAUCAGGAGGAACACCGAUGGCGAAGGCAGGGCUGUGGGCAUUAACUGACGCUGAGGAGCGAAAGCAUGGGGAGCGAACAGG